rnacentral:rRNA from 1 species
UAGGGAAUCUUCCGCAAUGGACGCAAGUCUGACGGAGCAACGCCGCGUGAGUGAAGAAGGAUUUCGGUUCGUAAAACUCUGUUGUUAGAGAAGAACAGCGCAUAGAGUAACUGUUAUGCGUGUGACGGUAUCUAACCAGAAAGCCACGGCUAACUACGUGCCAGCAGCCGCGGUAAUACGUAGGUGGCAAGCGUUGUCCGGAUUUAUUGGGCGUAAAGCGAGCGCAGGCGGUCAAUUAAGUCUGAUGUGAAAGCCCCCGGCUCAACCGGGGAGGGUUAUUGGAAACUGGUUGACUUGAGUGCAGAAGAGGAGAGUGGACUUCCAUGUGUAGCGCUGAAAUACGUAGAUUUAUGGAGGAACACCAAUGGCGAAGGGGACUCUCUGGUCUGUAACUGACGCUGAGGCUCGAAAGCGUGGGUAGCAAACGGG